CGUGGCUUUGCGUGGGUGGAACUCGCGCUGCCUUCCCGGCCUCUGUGGGGGCCAUCUUUGAAACUAGAAUGAGCACUGAGACAUAGCGCUCGAGGAGGGGAUGGGACACCUUAGAGGUCAACUGAUGCUGAUACCUGCAGGUUGAAAUUUCUGGAGAAGGAAGAGCUAAGAGCUUGAGAGGACGAGGAGUGAGUACCAAACCAGAAUCCAAAGUCAGACUUCACUGCAUUCAGUAAUACCUUGUCAAGGUGACAGGAUCCUCAACUGAUAAAGCUGUUCCAUUUAGCACCAGUGAAUGAGCCCACCAACUUAAACAAACUAAAGAACCAAACAUGUCUUUCAGUGGUGGAGAUAUUAAAAUAAAAAUGCACCACAUGUCUUUCUCUUCUUAAAUGCUUUUUUUCAUUCCUUUCCAACCCAGAAAGUUCCUGCUUUAUCUGAGAUCCCUGCUGAGUUUUCUUUCAGACUGAUUUUCCAGCCAGGUUGAAUAUAUUUGAAAAGGAAGAAACAAAAAGAGAGAGAGAGCCUAAGGCAUUUACACAGGGUCAUUCUGAGGGCUAGCUGGGAUUAAUACCCUAAACUGAAUCUGAUCCAUGCUGGUUCUAUCUCUGAAUAUGCUUGCAUUUAACCCUAAAUUAUAAAUUAUAUUUUUAGAGUUAUUAGUUAAAAAUAAAGACUCUGAACUAACGAGUAGACAGAUCUGUAUGCCAA